rnacentral:pre_miRNA from 1 species
AGACUGGUUAAUGAUAACAAUGCGUCAUAAAAUCUUCAGAAGGAAAGAAUGUUUUGUGGACCAUUUCUUUUUGUGUGUGUGUGACCAGUUUUAAGUUACUAGUUUUGAAAAUCACU